rnacentral:lncRNA from 1 species
AAACAAAAGAACCUGAAAAAGGUUCUGGUGAUAAUACAUUUUUCAAUGUUUUAAUCCCUUUCAGAUCCAGCGGACAUGGAGAGGAUUCUUUGUAAGGAAGUAUAUUCAUAACUUCUACGCACGCAAAAAAUAUCUGGAGCAAGUUUGCUGGAAAAAUGAACACAUCAGGAGAGAGCUUGAUGAACUUGAAGAACUUCAGAAGCGAGAGAGAAACUGUCUGGAGAUGAUGAAGGAGCAGACAGCCAAGGUCUACAAAGCUCACCGGUUACAUCACCUCAUGAGUACAAAGCAGUGUCCAGGGGUCUUCAACUCUCCAUUCAGGCCAGCUCCCCAUGAGAUGGAGCUACUGCUUAGGCAGGUCAAGUACGAGGCCCCCACCAGACUAGUCCCCAGAUACAGGGAUUGUCACGUGGGUAUGCCUGACUCAGCAGCACCUAGUUUCCCUGGGAAUCUUGGAUCCCCAUGGAUCAAAACUACCAGAACCUGCUUCUCCUGCAAGCCCAUGCUGCCCCCUAUCGUCAACAAGAAACAGCAGGAUCUGUUCAGAGAGCCAGGGGAAGUGUGGCAGCAGUUUGUGAAUUAUCCUGAGCUGAUGUUGCGGCUGCAGACCUCUUACAAACACCUGGAGGAGGCCCAGAAUCAACAAUGACAAUUUGGGAAUCCUGGAUCCAUUCUCUGAUUAAUGAGAUUGAGAGUCAAUGACAAGAGCUCUCUGAAGCAUCAUGCCAUCUAUCACUCCAUCUCCCUGUCUCUCCCUGUAAUCCAGCCAACAUCUUUUUUGUAGGACAUGAAAAUUAAUGUGUUUUCACAUUUACACUUUGCUAUCCUCAACUUUCGUUUUUCGUUUUUCCCUUUGCCUUAUUCUUUAUAUUUAUACUCUGAUAUAUAUUCUAGUAUUCCCUUUUCCUGCCUCGCAUACAGCAUAUUGCUAUGUUAUGAGAAAAAAGUAGUAUGGUUUGUGGUGUGUGUCUGUGUGUGAGAGACUGUGUGUUUGUGUGCGCGGGUGUGUAUGUAAGAGGGACCCCAUGCUGUGUGUGUAAUUUCUUGUUUGUACAUGGAUCCAAACAUCUUUGGCCACUGCAGAGCAGGGGGAGAUAUGUAGAAAGACAGAGCGGUUGAAAAAGACAACAAGAAAAGAUUAAGAGAAGAGGAUAGAGAGGGGGGUGGAUAGGAGAAAAACAGGAUCACAACAAAAGCAGCUCAGAUUUCGCAAAUGCAUAUUUCAUCAAUCAUUGGAAUAAGUCUUGGUGAUUAUGCAUGGUGGUGGCAGUUGGGGUGGGGGUGAUUACCAUAUACCAUAAAGGCUGCUUUCUUAUCUCACACACACUGAUUAGUUUCUGUCUGCAGAUAGCCUCUCACUCUUUGCUCUUUUGCCACGCAUACACACACACACACACACACACACACACACACAUAGGCCUACUCAUGGGGUGUGUCUAUCUGUGGCAUACACAUACAUGUACAUGUAAACACAAGCACAUAAACAAUACUGAUAAAAUUCUAGGUGAAAGGAAUUUACCUGGUGCUAGUAGGCCAACCAGAAGAACCAGAUGAUUAAAGUUCACUGAACAUCUCAUUAUAAUUACUUGCACUCAAUCAGGAGUCUGAAUAAUUAUUCAGCGAACUGUGGUAAAACACUGAGCACUUAGAUUUUUGGUUCCAAAUGGCCUCAUUGACAAGCAAGUGUGUUUUUCAGCAAAUAUAUGCAGCCAGUUUGGCAAGAAGGUAAGACUGUAGCUGAAAAACUGUUGUUUUUAUUUUAAAUGGUAGAUAUUUUCCAGAAUUUUUAAAUGUUUUUUUCCUUUGCUUGUUGUCCUGUUUUGGCACAGUAGGUCAUUUUCCUGACGAUGCAGAACAAGAGAGAUAAUGUCAGACGGGGAGGAUGUGGAGGUGAGGCUGAGGCAAAAUUAGUACAUAUGAAAGGCCUCGCUUUGUGUCUCAACCAGAGAAUUAGAAAUUGCUCUUUUCUCUCGCAUUCCAAUCUCUCUCCCUCUCUGAUAUAUAAUGUAAACUCAUUUGGUAACCAGGCUGGAGCUGUGUUGCGCUAUCUGAGUGCCUGCAUGUAAGAAGUGUGCCUGGGAUGCAUUAGGCCCUCCUGACAGGGGCCUGGGUGAAAUAAGUGAAAUUAAUGGAGCUCCUUUCAUGUCGGACAAGGCCGCGGCACCCCUUUCAAGCAGUAUACAGUCACAGAAAAGUCAAUACUUUUUUAUUACUCCUCGCUUGCCCUACAUUCUCCACUACAAGUGCUCUGCUCACUAAUUGGUUUCAGUUUGCAGGGAAAAGGAGAGCGAGUGAAAUGGGAGAGAAAGAGAGGGUGAGGACUCCAUUCCCAAAGAACACUGAAGCAAAUAAAUCAAUCUCAUAUUUUUUCUCUCUGCUGUCUUUUCUCAUUGAGUAACAUCAUGGCAAAAAAAGCAAGAGAGAUGGGAGAGAUAGAGGUGAGAGGGAGAGGGUAAAUGGUUGGUUAGGGCACACCGGGUCCCCAGGGAGCAUAAUAAUAUCUGGGAGCCUGUUAAUGGACACAAGUGGUUAAAGUGGUCUGAGGCCCUGGCCAGGUCACCUGUGGGGGUUUCUAGCCAGCAACUCCACCUCAGCUCCAAGCAUUGUGGCCUCAGAGGCACAAAACAUAAUUUCAG